GGUCGAAUGGUGUAGUGGUUUAUCACGUCCCGUUCACAGUUGGAGCAAUCUAGCGCCGGGGAGGUCCCGGGUUCAAUCCCCGGUUCGACCU